UUCGCCCUCUUCGUCUGCUUCUUUCUGGCUGCAACCCCAGCCAUUCCCUCUCCCGCACAUCUCUCUCUCUCUCUCUCUCUCUCUCGCCGCCGCCGCCGUCGCCGCCCAUCCUCCCAGUCCCGCCUCUUCUCCUCCCCAUCAGCCCCCUCGUCUCUGCCGGUGGCGCCGCUGCUUCCCCGUCCCGCAGCUGCUUGGCCCUUGCAUCUCAAUCUCUCGAGCGCCGUCACCGAGAAAGACCCCUCGGCAGCCAACUACGGCAACGUCCUCUCCGGAGAGAUCCUCCCCGCGACGGUCCCGACGAACCAUGGGCAGAGAUCGGCCACCUCGACAGGGCCGCCAUCGACCGCUCUACUGGUCCGGCUGGCGCUCUUCCUUUGCAGGUUGGCGAGGAGGACCGGUAGAUCGAGUCGGAGCUCUGCCGGCUCUAGCUCCACUCCAUCGAGGUUCAGGUUGCGGCCCCUCGUGGGCAUGAGGAGUGACGGAGCCAUCAAGAGCGGCAGCGAUGAGCUGAUGCGGACGUGGCUGCAGCCUCCUCGCGAGAUCUCGACCAUGGUCCUCUGUCGUCAUGGAGCCGGACGAGCUCACCUUCCAGCUCGUGUCAAGACCCGAAACAACAAGCCCAGUUCGCUUCUACACCUCCAAGGUCAUGAGCCAGCCUACCACCUCUACUGCUGCAAGUUUGUGUUAAUUUUUAUUUGUUUGUUUCUUCUUUUGGUGAAGCAGGUGAACUGAUUCUGGCAUUUUUUGUUGCCUUCCCCGUGCGUGCAUGGUCGAAGGCUGGUGGCCCAGCUCGCCGGAUUGGUCAAGGUCUCACGUGGGAUUUCCUUGCAGUUCAGAGUAUUUAAAGAAAACUACCACAAUUCGUGAAACCGUGCCUACAAACUAUCACUUUACAAAUUUAUGCCGAAAACUACCAUUUUCUCACUAAUCCUUAACUAAAAACUAUCAAGUCUGAAAAGAACCCGAUUCGACUCAUUUAAACGCGUUUGUGAGUAGUUGGGCCCACACAUAAGCGGGCUAAAAAAGCAAUCGAGUCCCUGAUAGUUUUUCAAAUAGCAUAAGCGGGCAUGCAGCAGCGGCGGCCGCAAGUAGCAGUGACAGCGAGUGGCGGCAUGCAUCGACGGUGGCUUAGCUCGGGCUGCGUCCGUGAGCUAACUAGCUCCGGCUAGCCGCGGUACGCACGGGAGCUAGCUAGCUCUGGCUGUGUCCGUCCGUGGUGCGUGGAAGCUAGCUAGCUCCGCCCGCCCAAGGAGCAGCAGCGGAGGCAACAGUCGUCGUCUGCCUGAGAGCACCAGCAGCAAAGGAGCAAAGCGCGGCCAGCGGAGGAGCGGACACCAGCAGCGGCUGGCGCUAGAGCGCGGGCCUCGAGGCGCUGCUCGACGAGGGCAACCAUGUCCACCACGGAGAGCGCCAUGAACGAGCUCGGAUGCGUGCUAUGGCCGCCGCCAAACACGGUCGGCGUAAAGGGACUCGAUUGCUUUUUUUUCAAAAUUAACAGGGAUCCGAUUGCUUUUUGGCGAAACUUACGAGGACUGGAUUGCCUUUUUUAAGGAGAUAUAGGAGGAGCAAGAAGAUAGACACUGACGUGUGGGCCAACUCUGUUAAACAAGUCGAAUCGGGCUCUUUUCAGACUUGGAAGUUUUUAGUCAAGGAUUAGUGAGAAAAUUGUAGUUUUCGGCACAAAUUUGUAAAGUGAAGUUUGUAGGCACAGUUUCACGAAUUGUGGUAGUUUUUUGUUAAAUACUCUGCAGAUCAUCAUUGCCAUUGUCUGCAUCCUUCACACUUUUGGUUGGUGUGGUUACUUAGUGCCUUCUAAAUCUCCGUCGUAACCACAGUCGAUCGCCCGCACCGUUCCGUC